CCCAAAUAAAACCGCCUCCGGGUAGUAUAAAUAAGCCCUGUUCUCUCUGUCUCGAUCUCGAUCCCAGUCUCGAGAACAGUGGCUCUCUGUUCCCUUCCCUCCUCCCCCGUCGGAUCGUUCACAUAUGCGUUUGUGCUUUCUCCUUUUCUUGGUUGAUGACCUCCGUCGCGAUCGCCGCCGAGACGAGGCUCUCCGUUGGUUCACGCUCACAAUUUAUUUGUUGUUUUGCUUGUGUGUUCGUGAUGCAGAGCGGACAAAUCUGUGAUGGCGUCAAGGCGAUCUAAAAGCUCUGCCGAAGAAUUUGGGGGCUGCGUUCUCGAGCGGAUGGCGUCCUCGGAUUUCCAAGAUGAUCUCAAAGCUCUGCAGAAGAAUUCGGGGGCUGGGCACUUGGGGAAUCCUUGUUUCUUCAUGCUGAAGGAAGAAUCUACUUGAAGCGUCUUCCUGAAGCAACGCGUCACGAGCUUAAGCUUGUCUUUUGCUUUGUUUGUCCCGGCACCAGGAAGAGAAUCUAUCCUCUCUCUCUCUUUGGUCGUUUCUUUGCCCGUAGUGCAGGCUGAGUCACAAUGCACAGAGGCCACGCGUUAACGCCAUUAAACUUAUCAAACAAUUCCGCUACCCAUAGUGUUCCAGAGAUUUGGAGAAAAUAAAGGCCGAGUCGACAUUGCCCAGACAAUUCUGAUGCCCACAGCGUUCUGGAUAUUAAGAAGGAAGACACGGCUAUAAAUCAUCACCAACCAAACCCAACAUUGGAUGUGAAGAAGAAUGAAAGAGAAUGGUCACAGCAACAUUGCAAAAAGGAAGGUCUUGAACAACAACUCCAACAUUUAACAAGCCUGAAUGUCGAGCAGAAGAGACCAGAAUGAUGAGAGCUUCAUGAUCUUAGGGUCUUAUGCAAGUACAAGAACAGAAGGAUGCUCCGAUCUUGUUCAAGUUGGCAUAGGAGAAUGAGCUCGUUGAGGAUGGCCGCCAUCUCACUGAUGCUGCUUGGAACACAACCAUGGAUCUUAUUAUUGGCAAUGAUGACAACGGAGGCUUUGGAGUUACCGAAGUUGUCAUGCAUCUAAGAGCUGAAAUAAUUGCCGUUCAAGAAUAUGGCGUUGAGCUCCUUAUCGAAGAUCGUCGACGACUAUGCUCCCUCGAAGUCAUUAAACCGAAGGUCGAGGUGCUUGAGCGAUGGCAAGCGAAGGGCAACAUCCAAGAUCGAGCCGUCGAAGCGAUUGUUGCUAGCAUCAAGCCCGUGGAGUUUGAGAUGGGAGAUGUUUUAGGAGAUGAUACCACAGAAACAAUUGAAGUUAAUGUGGAGAAGGGCGACGUCGGUCAAGAGGCCGAGCUCCACGAGGAGGUACCCAACGAUAUCGACAUCAUUAAGGUUGACAUUGAUGACAAUGUUGACCGAGGGGUCAUCAGGCACCACAACACAAAAGAUGUCAAGAUAACCACACACGUCAAGGUCGACCCAAUUGCCGAUGAAGUUUGGGGGUCAGAGUACAAUGCCUUCUUCCAUGCCCUCAAAGCGACAUAAGUGCGACGAAAGUGGGGAUUAAUGAUGGUGACGUCGAUCUCAACACCAAAAUCGAAGUUGUCAAGGUCUCCCUUUUUUAAGAGGGCCAGGAGAUGAUAGUGCACGAUGGAGGCAACCUUGGUGUUGGAGAGGGUCGAGGAAAAGCGUGAAAGCGAAGAGAAACUGAGCAAGGUAAAGAAGCCUUAACAGAAGCUACUCUUAUAUAAAGUUAAUAUCAUUGGACAAUCAGAAUAACAACUACAAAAUUAUCCUUUUAUCCCUUGUUUAGCGUCAUUUCUUGCACAUGAUAGCACAUGCGAUAUCCUCCAUCAAUAGAAUCAACGAUGUGAGGAGAAACGAGGUUUAAUAUUUCACUUUCGUAAGUCUAAGAAUCAUAAUGUAACUUUUUAAAGUAUAUGAAUUAAUAUGCUAAACAUAACUAACUACAAUAGAAUCGACGACGUGAGGAGAAAUGAGAUUUAAUGUUUCACUUUCGUAAGUAUAAGAUUCUUAAUGUAACUUUUUAAAGUAUAUGAAUCAAGAUGCUAAACAUAACUAACUACAAAAGAUAAUCUAUAAUUAAAACAAGAUACGACUAUCACUUUAUUUUGAAGCUACUCAUCAUAACAAGCUUUAGAUUAUACAAUCGUAGCAUGGUUAAUUUCAUAAAUUUGACUCAUGUAACUAAGAUAUUGGUGAUAACUAAAUCAAUUCGACUUGGUUUGAC